rnacentral:rRNA from 1 species
GAUGAACGCUGGCGGCGUGCCUAAUACAUGCAAGUAGAACGCUGAAGCUUGGUGCUUGCACCGAGCGGAUGAGUUGCGAACGGGUGAGUAACGCGUAGGUAACCUGCCUCUUAGCGGGGGAUAACUAUUGGAAACGAUAGCUAAUACCGCAUAAAAGUCGAUAUCGCAUGAUAUUGAUUUGAAAGGUGCAAUUGCAUCACUAAGAGAUGGACCUGCGUUGUAUUAGCUAGUUGGUGAGGUAACGGCUCACCAAGGCGACGAUACAUAGCCGACCUGAGAGGGUGAUCGGCCACACUGGGACUGAGACACGGCCCAGACUCCUACGGGAGGCAGCAGUAGGGAAUCUUCGGCAAUGGGGGCAACCCUGACCGAGCAACGCCGCGUGAGUGAAGAAGGUUUUCGGAUCGUAAAGCUCUGUUGUAAGAGAAGAACGAGUGUGAGAGUGGAAAGUUCACGCUGU